rnacentral:rRNA from 1 species
AUUGAACGCUGGCGGCAGGCUUAACACAUGCAAGUCGAGCGGGGGAGGUUGCUUCGGUAACUGACCUAGCGGCGGACGGGUGAGUAAUGCUUAGGAAUCUGCCUAUUAGUGGGGGACAACAUUCCGAAAGGGAUGCUAAUACCGCAUACGCCCUACGGGGGAAAGCAGGGGAUCUUCGGACCUUGCGCUAAUAGAUGAGCCUAAGUCGGAUUAGCUAGUUGGUGGGGUAAAGGCCUACCAAGGCGACGAUCUGUAGCGGGUCUGAGAGGAUGAUCCGCCACACUGGGACUGAGACACGGCCCAGACUCCUACGGGAGGCAGCAGUGGGGAAUAUUGGACAAUGGGCGGAAGCCUGAUCCAGCCAUGCCGCGUGUGUGAAGAAGGCCUUUUGGUUGUAAAGCACUUUAAGCGAGGAGGAGGCUACUUUAGUUAAUACCUAGAGAUAGUGGACGUUACUCGCAGAAUAAGCACCGGCUAACUCUGUGCCAGCCGCCGCCGUAAUAC